AAGCAUUGUGGUAGGUGCGGAGGACUGCACCGCAUGCUAGGCCUGGGCUGACGAACCACAGCCAGUCAUUUCUUCAUUCCUUCAUUCACUCAGAACCAGUGGAUUCAGCCCCUGCUCUGUACCAGUGUCUGGGCCGGGCAUUAGAGGGAUGGCAGUGAGUGAGAGACAUGGCUCUCGCCCUGGUGUAACUUCCAGUCCAGCAGAGAAGACAGACUUACAGAGUCAUUACAAUGACACUCAAUGACAGAUGGAGUUUCACUCUUGUCGCCCAGGCUGGAGUGCAAUGGCAGGAUCUCGGCUCACUGCAAACUCUGCCUUCCAGGUUCAAGUGAUUCUCCUGCCUCAGCCUCCCGAGUAGCUGGGACUACAGAUAUGCACCACUACACUUGGCUAAUUUUGUAUUUUUAGUAGAGUCAGGGGUUUGCCAUGUUGGCCAGGCUGGUCUCGAACUGCUGACCUUGAGUGAUUCACCCACUUUGGCCUCCCAAACUGCUGGGAUUACAGGCAUGAGCCACCAUGCCCAGCCUACACUGAGAACUUCUGCUCACACAUCUGUCUCCCCCUAGACUGUGGCCCCUUGGAGGGUAGGGUCUGCAUCUUAUCUAUAUUUAUGACCCUAGCUAUUAGCAUAGAACACUGGCUUGCUGUGGGAGCUUAACAAAUGCUUGUUGAUUGGGUGGCUGGAUUUUUUCAUUUUUCCUCUUCAUCCAGAUAUUUUGAUCUCACAUGUACACAGGCUGAUUUCUUCCCAUGCCUGUGACUUGAGUGCUGGAAUUUCUUCUACUUUCUUCUUCUUCUUUGUUUUUCUU
rnacentral:lncRNA from 1 species